GAUUCACAUACGUAUUUACCAUAGACUGUAUAUAAUGGUAUUUACGCAGCUAAUCAACUUCAGGCGUCCUUAUGUGCAGCCACCAUUGUUGUCAUAGAUAUGAAUGAGUAGAUAGGACACGCCCCCUUUGAGCUGCGUGCUACAGCGAGGCUAAGCUAGUGGGGGCAAAGUUUCAGUGCAUUCUGUUGAUGUAGACGGCGUGAAAACGGAAACAACAAGUAUGCCGGCUCACUGUGCUGCAUACAGUUACACACUACGUCGUACGAUUGAGACAAGGAAACUUGGAAUGACUUUUCAUAGGUUUCCCAGAGACUAUGGGUUGAGGAGGAAUUGGAAGUUUGUUGGCUUAGACCUGGUGUCAUUCCAUCAGUGUUAAACUUCCCGGCUCAUCUUGGAAGAGUACGUGCCAGAAAGACCAUGACCAAGCAGCCUUGAGAUCUUAGGCAGCAUCUCCCUGAGGUCCCUCUCGAUCUCCCCACACAUCCACCAACCACUGGAACACAUCUCCAAAGUUCUGCCGGGCCAGCUCAGCUUCCCCUCAGAAGAAGUGCCGCCACCUGCCAGAUGAAGGAGCCUUUUGAGAGGCAGCUGUCAUCAUGAUUGAACUGUACUUUGGUCUGUUCUAAUCCAGCUUCAGCUCCAGAGACGGCAGGCGGGACGAGUCAACGGAGGCUGGGUGGACGAAGGCAUGCAGCGGAGUACAAUCCAGAAAACAACAGAGGAGGAGUGCAGCAGCCCAGGGCCAGAACAAACACAGUAGCAUCGUAUGUCUCUUAGAAAACAUCAUAGUAUAGCCUUUGGUAUGGAAAAAACGCCAUCAUAUACAUCGUAUAUUGUACAAAUAACAAGUCAAAGGAAAGAGACAUACAUUGUAGAAUUGUAGUAAUUGUGGGCUGACUGAUUUACUGAUUAUCAGUAUUUUAUUUUUUACUGAUUUACGGUAAUACAUUUAAAAAUGGUGCUACUUUGGCUCUGAACCUUUAUCUACCUGUGGUCGCUCUGUCUUCUGGAGUGAUUUGAUUGGUUAUACGUAACGAAUAAAACUCUUUUAACAUCUGUAAACAAAACAAAAACGUAUCAACAAAGUUUUCUGUUAGAGUUUGUGUUCUUCUAAGUUUAACUCAAGAUUUUAAAUACUUUCAUUUACUGCAAAUGAAUAUCUACUCCAAAUGUCUCACUAAUAAUCAUUAUCAGCCUUAAAAACCCACAAAACACCCCUCUAUACUCGAGACACUUAGUACAGUCUGGUUCCCCCUUCUAUAAAUCUGCUUGGAAUCUUCCGCUUCCUGUUUGUCAAAGUGGCCUUCUACCUGGACAGGUUUUGUUGGAGCUCAUGCAGCAAACAUUUUGGGUAACUGCACUUUAAUAUGGAUGGAUGACACUGAAUUAGAGUCUGUUUUAAUGAGACUGAGUUAAGAUGUGUAGCUCUGUCAUUAAAUAGUAAAUUAUUUCUCAGAAUUCACAGAGAAAAGUCUGAAAUGUUUGCUAGGUUAGCGUCCCAUAUGUUCUUUGGCUCAGCUAAAGCUAACUCUCUCCAACUUCUGGAUCUCUUGAGUUGCUUGUUGUUAAAAUACCUUGCUGGAGGUGCUGAGGCUCAGAAAGUCUGAGAUGUUUGUUCAAAAUAAGCUCAUUCUCAAGUCUUAUCUGAACUGUCCUCUUUUGUUUGAACUUUCCCUAAACUUAGGAGUUAAUGACAGAGCAGCACAUCCAGACUCAGUCUCAUUUAUGUAGAGAUUAAACUUCAGUGUCAUUCAUUGACGUUAAAGUGCAGUUUUUCAAAUGUUUGUUGCACAUGCUCUUGACCAAACCAGUCCAGGUGGAAGACAAUGUGAAGAGAAAGCUCCAGAGGAUGAAUAUCACACAUUUACAUUGGAAAUUAAUGUCCUUUAAUUAGACAUUGUCAUGCAAAAGUUGGAUUUCCCUUUAAUGAUGUUCAAAUCUUUGUUGAGUGCUUUGUUGAUGUUGGUUUCUAACUGUUUUCUGACACUCGGCCCCAAAGAUUAAAACCUUCUACGGCUCACAAUCUGCAACAAUUCACACAUUAUCAACUAUCUUUCUGACUAAACUAAGAUAAAAAGUGAAAAACUGCCUGAUUCCUGCAUCAUGAAUGUAAAUCUUUUUGGUUUUUAUUACCGUAAACGGAAUAUAUUUGGGCUUGACACUUUAUAAACCAAAACAAGAAAUGAAUUACUGGAGAAAACGACAGAUUAAUGGACUAAAAAAAUGUGUUUUCUAAUAUAUAUGGCUGAAUUACUCCAACAUUACAAGAUACAUACCAUUUUAAUUGAAUUUCAUUUAUAUAAUGCCAAUUACAGGUCAAAUUGUUUCAAGAUGCUUUAUUUUUAUAUUGUUUUGUCGUAUUUAAAAUAUGACAAAGUAAGAAAUUUAAACCUCUUGACUAAUCCAAUUUAUUAUUUAGUUUUUAAGAGACUAAUUGACAAUUCAAACUUUCUCCACUAAAACUAAUAAACAUGAGGUCAAAUAGAAGGAACAGUUUUAAAUACUACAGUCCCACGACGACAAGAAUAAAGUUUCUCAACAAAAACUAAAUCUGCUGGUGGAUUCCAUGAAAGUCCUAAUAAAGGAUAAUAAAGUGUGAUACUAAAGGUUUGUGGUGCUAAAAAUCUCAAAGUAAAGAUAUCGAGUUGAACAUCUGGAUGGAGGUUGAUAAAAGUUGACCUUCUUUCAUUUCUCUGGAGCCGACUCCAUGGAUUUUAUGGAUGGUGGUCAAAGACCUGAUCUUCUAGUCAUCUUCCUUCUAGUUGCUGUAAAAAGUCAGUCCAUCCUGGCCGACUUCAACACCUCUUCAUGACAACUUGUUCUGCCUCCGACCUGGUGGAAACUCCAGAAACUCGGGAAAACCUGUCGAGACUCGAAGAACUCGUGGAGACUUGAAGAACUCGUCGGGUGGGGGAAGGUGUGGUGGGCAGUGGGGGAGUAGAGGGGGGAGGCCGCCACCCACCUCCCCGCCUACUCUCCGCCCUGACUCCACCCAGACUCCACCUUGGCUCCACCCGUGUGGUCACUUGGAAACUACGAUGACAAAGGGACGACGAAAUUAUGUCUUUUCAUCUGAUCUGUAGCUCAGUGAGUUAAGGAUUUGCCUAUGGAGCUGCAGGUCGCUGGUUCAAGACCAGACCCUUCUUGAAUUUUAUCAAAAUCCUGACAAAGACGAAGAAAGAAAAAGGCCGGUGGUGGGUCUUGAACCUGCGACCUUCCAGUUGGUAGUCCGUCUUCUUAUCCCCUGAGCUACUCGCUCAGAUACUAAUUUCUACUUUUUUUUGCGCAUUUAUCAUCUAUUUUUUGUCAUUUUCAAGUUUUUUUUUUAACUCGUGUCUCGACUCGACCGUUUUUUUCAGGAGGUUGGACUUCAGCCUUUGUGCUAGAGGGUGGAACCCUCAGUUCCAAGACUUUCCAAAGCCUCCACACCUCCCGAGUCCUCAGGACCUGA